CAAGUCGGACGGGAUCCGUUGGUAGCUUGCUACCAAUGGUGAGAGUGGCGCACGGGUGCGUAACGCGUGAGCAACCUACCUCUAUCAGGGGGAUAGCCUCUCGAAAGAGAGAUUAACACCGCAUAACAUCAACAGUUCGCAUGUUCGGUUGAUUAAAUAUUUAUAGGAUAGAGAUGGGCUCGCGUGACAUUAGCUAGUUGGUAGGGUAACGGCUUACCAAGGCGACGAUGUCUAGGGGCUCUGAGAGGAGAAUCCCCCACACUGGUACUGAGACACGGACCAGACUCCUACGGGAGGCAGCAGUAAGGAAUAUUGGUCAAUGGGCGGAAGCCUGAACCAGCCAUGCCGCGUGCAGGAUGACUGCCCUAUGGGUUGUAAACUGCUUUUGUCCAGGAAUAAACCUAAAUACGUGUAUUUAGCUGAAUGUACUGGAAGAAUAAGGAUCGGCUAACUCCGUGCCAGCAGCCGCGGUAAUACGGAGGAUCCGAGCGUUAUCCGGAUUUAUUGGGUUUAAAGGGUGCGUAGGCGGCCUAUUAAGUCAGGGGUGAAAUACGGUGGCUCAACCAUCGCAGUGCCUUUGAUACUGAUGGGCUUGAAUCCAUUUGAAGUGGGCGGAAUAAGACAAGUAGCGGUGAAAUGCAUAGAUAUGUCUUAGAACUCCGAUUGCGAAGGCAGCUCACUAAGCUGGUAUUGACGCUGAUGCACGAAAGCGUGGGGAUCGAACAGGAUUAGAUACCCUGGUAGUCCACGCCCUAAACGAUGAUAACUCGAUGUUGGCGAUAGACAGCCAGCGUCCCAGCGAAAGCGUUAAGUUAUCCACCUGGGGAGUACGCCCGCAAGGGUGAAACUCAAAGGAAUUGACGGGGGCCCGCACAAGCGGAGGAGCAUGUGGUUUAAUUCGAUGAUACGCGAGGAACCUUACCCGGGCUUGAAAGUUAGUGAAG
rnacentral:rRNA from 1 species